rnacentral:rRNA from 1 species
UACGUAGGGGGCAAGCGGUUGUCCGGAUUUAUUGGGCGUGAAAGAGGCGUGUAGGCGGCCAUUUAAGUCCGCUGUGAAAGUCAAAGGCUCAACCCUUUGAAAGCCGGUGGAUACUGGAGUGGCUAGAGUACGGAAGAGGCGAGUGGAAUUCCUGGUGUAGCGGUGGAAUGCGCGAUAUCAGGAGGAACACCCAAUAGCGAAGGCAGCUCGCUGGG